AGAGUUUGAUCCUGGCUCAGGACGAACGCUGGCGGCGUGCCUAAUACAUGCAAGUCGAACGAAGCUUUCUUUCACCGAAUGCUUACAUUCACCGAAAGAAGCUUAGUGGCGAACGGGUGAGUAACACGUAGGCAACCUGCCCAAAAGAGGGGGAUAACACUUGGAAACAGGUGCUAAUACCGCAUAACCAUGAACACCGCAUGAUGUUCAUGUAAAAGACGGCUUUUGCUGUCACUUUUGGAUGGGCCUGCGGCGUAUUAACUUGUUGGUGGGGUAACGGCCUACCAAGGUGAUAAUACGUAGCCGAACUGAGAGGUUGAUCGGCCACAUUGGGACUGAGACACGGCCCAAACUCCUACGGGAGGCAGCAGUAGGGAAUCUUCCACAAUGGACGAAAGUCUGAUGGAGCAACGCCGCGUGAAUGAAGAAGGCCUUCGGGUCGUAAAAUUCUGUUGUCAGAGAAGAACGUGCGUGAGAGUAACUGUUCACGUAUUGACGGUAUCUGACCAGAAAGCCACGGCUAACUACGUGCCAGCAGCCGCGGUAAUACGUAGGUGGCGAGCGUUGUCCGGAUUUAUUGGGCGUAAAGGGAACGCAGGCGGUCUUUUAAGUCUGAUGUGAAAGCCUUCGGCUUAACCGAAGUAGUGCAUUGGAAACUGGAAGACUUGAGUGCAGAAGAGGAGAGUGGAACUCCAUGUGUAGCGGUGAAAUGCGUAGAUAUAUGGAAGAACACCAGUGGCGAAAGCGGCUCUCUGGUCUGUAACUGACGCUGAGGUUCGAAUGCGUGGGUAGCAAACAGGAUUAGAUACCCUGGUAGUCCACGCCGUAAACGAUGAGUGCUAAGUGUUGGAGGGUUUCCGCCCUUCAGUGCUGCAACUAACGCAUUAAGCACUCCGCCUGGGGAGUACGGUCGCAAGACUGAAACUCAAAGGAAUUGACGGGGGCCCGCACAAGCGGUGGAGCAUGUGGUUUAAUUCGAAGCAACGCGAAGAACCUUACCAGGUCUUGACAUCUUCUGACAAUUCAGAGAUGGAACUUCCCCUUCGGGGACAGAAUGACAGGUGGUGCAUGGUUGUCGUCAGCUCGUGUCGUGAGAUGUUGGGUUAAGUCCCGCAACGAGCGCAACCCUUAUUGUCAGUUGCCAUCAUUAAGUUGGGCACUCUGGCGAGACUGCCGGUGACAAACCGGAGGAAGGUGGGGAUGACGUCAAAUCAUCAUGCCCCUUAUGACCUGGGCUACACACGUGCUACAAUGGACGGUACAACGAGUCGCUAACUCGCGAGGGCAAGCUAAUCUCUUAAAGCCGUUCUCAGUUCGGAUUGCAGGCUGCAACUCGCCUGCAUGAAGUCGGAAUCGCUAGUAAUCGCGAAUCAGCAUGUCGCGGUGAAUACGUUCCCGGGCCUUGUACACACCGCCCGUCACACCAUGAGAGUUUGUAACACCCAAAGUCGGUGGGGUAACCUUUUGGAGCCAGCCGCCUAAGGUGGGACAGAUGAUUGGGGUGAAGUCGGAACAAGGUA
rnacentral:rRNA from 1 species